UUUAAAAGCACUUUGGAAAGAGGGUGAAAAGAACCUGAAACCGUUACGAAGGAAGCGAAUUGCGUUGUCAGGGUGCAUUGUCGAGUAAUGUUCAGCCGUUCUGGUGUAGUGAUUGCUUUUGACGCUGCCGUCGUGGGCUAACAGAUAGGUCAAAGUGAAGAGCUAUCGCAACAUCGUAGCCAUAUGAGUACCCCGCAAGGGGGACGACGGAGGACUGACGCGAUUCGACCCGUCUUGAAACACGGACCAAGGAGUCUAGCAUAUAUGCGAGUCGUAGGGUGAUAAAACCUGAGGGCGCAGUGAAAGCGAAUUGUCGAGAACGGGCAGUUUGAGGCGGCAUGUGAUUGUUAAUUGCAAGUCCGACCUGGAGCAUUUAUGCUAGGACCCGAAAGAUGGUGAACUAUACUGGCGUAGGGCGAAGCCAGAGGAAACUCUGGUGGAGGCUCGAAGCGCUGCUGACGUGCAAAUCGCUCGUCGAACGUGAGUAUAGGGGCGAAAGACUAAUCGAACCAUCUAGUAGCUGGUUUCCUCCGAAGUUUCUCUCAGGAUAGCGGGUCGAGGGGUGUUGCUAUGUGC
rnacentral:rRNA from 1 species